rnacentral:rRNA from 1 species
UCUUAUUGAUUAUAAUUUUAAGUCUAAUCUGCCCAAUGAUAUUUUAUUUAAUGGCUGCAGUAUUUAUAACUGUACAAAGGUAGCAUAAUAAUUAGUUUUUUAAUUGAAAACUAGAAUGAAAGAUUAAAUGAAAUAUAUACUAUAUAAAUAAAAUUAAAAAUUAAAAUUAAAAUUUAAGUAAAAAUUCUUAAAUUAUUUUAAAAGACGAGAAGACCCUAUAGAAUUUUAUUUUUUAUUAUUUUAAAAUUUAAUAAUAAAUUUAAAUAAAUAAUAAAAAAUUUAAUUGGGGUAAUUUUAAAAUUAAAUUAAUUUUUAUUUAAAAAACAUAAAUUAAUGAAUUUUUAAUCUUAAAAUUUAGAUUAAAAAAAUAAAUUACC